GAGUUUAUAGCUUAGAGGAUAAAGCUCUUGCUUUUUAAGUUGGUGGUUAGGAGUUCAAAUCUCACUUUAACCA
rnacentral:tRNA from 1 species